rnacentral:lncRNA from 1 species
UAUUCCCCGGUGAACUAUGAUAUGUAUAGGUUAUAUUCACAUUAACACAUCAUAUAGGUUAUAUUCACAUCACUUUCGAUAAGCUAUUCAUAUGCAUAGUUCAGGUUCACUAAUCUCUAUUAUUCCCCGGUGAACUAUGAUAUGUAUAGGUUAUAUUCACAUUAACACAUCAUAUAGGUUAUAUUCACAUCACUUUCGAUAAGCUAUUCAUAUGCAUAGUUCAGGUUCACUAAUCUCUAUUAUUCCCCGGUGAACUAUGAUAUGUAUAGGUUAUAUUCACAUUAACACAUCAUAUAGGUUAUAUUCACAUCACUUUCGAUAAGCUAUUCAUAUGCAUAGUUCAGGUUCACUAAUCUCUAUUAUUCCCCGGUGAACUAUGAUAUGUAUAGGUUAUAUUCACAUUAACACAUCAUAUAGGUUAUAUUCACAUCACUUUCGAUAAGCUAUUCAUAUGCAUAGUUCAGGUUCACUAAUCUCUAUUAUUCCCCGGUGAACUAUGAUAUGUAUAGGUUAUAUUCACAUUAACACAUCAUAUAGGUUAUAUUCACAUCACUUUCGAUAAGCUAUUCAUAUGCAUAGUUCAGGUUCACUAAUCUCUAUUAUUCCCCGGUGAACUAUGAUAUGUAUAGGUUAUAUUCACAUUAACACAUUGUAUAGGUUACACUCACCAUCACCAUCACUUUUGUUAAGCUAUUCAUAUGCAUAGUUCAGGUUCCCUAAUCCCUAUUACUCCCCGGUGAACUAUGAUAUGUAUAGGUUAUAAUCACAAUAGAUUUUCAUAUGGUUAGACUUCAACUAUAAUCGUUGAGCGUAUAUGCUUGAGUCAUACAAGAAUUUAGUCUAGAUUGGCUUGGAAUUGGUGGUGCCCGCCUUAUCUCCUGUUCCUUGUUUGGUUGUGGACCUAGGGCGGACCCAUUACAUUCGACGUUUUAUCUAACCUAAAUCUUAUAUAACUUAUAUAGGCUGGACAAUUAUAGGGGAAAUCUACGGGUAAAUCUAGAAUACAUCAAUGUAUCAUUUAGGAUUAUUCUGUUUACACUUAACUAAGAAAAUAUUGGAUCUUCUGGAAAUCAAACUUCAUCGAUUUUAAGAAGGAAAACGGUUUUUACUCCAAACAAAACUCUUAUGAACUCACCAACUUAAUUGUUGACACUCUUUUUCAAAACUACUUGUAUUCUCAGGAAAUCAGUGAAACAGGAAAACUUCAGCGCUUUGAGGAUGGGACGUUAAACCGUCAACA